UACGGGGGGGCAAGCGUUGUUCGGAAUUACUGGGCGUAAAGGGCUCGUAGGCGGCCAACUAAGUCAGACGUGAAAUCCCCAGGCUCAACCUUGGGAACUGCGUCUGAUACUGGAUGGCUUGAAUUCCGGGAGAGGGAUGCAGAAUUCCAGGUGUAGCGGUGAAAUGCGUAGAUAUCUGGAGGAAUACCGGUGGCGAAGGCGGCAUCCUGGACCGGCAUUGACGCUGAGGAGCGAAAGCCAGGGGAGCAAACGGG
rnacentral:rRNA from 1 species